CUUGGUCAUUUAGAGGAAGUAAAAGUCGUAACAAGGUUUCCGUAGGUGAACCUGCGGAAGGAUCAUUAAUGAAAUGAAUGUCGAGAAGGGUUGUAGCUGGCCUUUUGGGGCAUGUGCACACCUUGAUCGCACAUCCACCUCUCACACCUGUGCACUAUGUGUAGCUUGGGAUGAUUACAGUGUUGGAAACGACGUUGAAAGCCCUAGCUAUGAAUUUUUAUACACCCACAUACAAAGUUAUAGAAUGGAUAAUGUUAUAGCGUGUAAUAGCGCGAAUAUAUACAACUUUCAGCAACGGAUCUCUUGGCUCUCGCAUCGAUGAAGAACGCAGCGAAAUGCGAUAAGUAAUGUGAAUUGCAGAAUUCAGUGAAUCAUCGAAUCUUUGAACGCACCUUGCGCUCCUUGGUAUUCCGAGGAGCAUGCCUGUUUGAGUGUCAUGAAAUUCUCAACUGCCUUUUAGCAUUUAUGUUAAGGGUGAAGUUGGAGUUGGAGGAAUAAUUGCUGGCGCAACUGAGGUUGCUUGUUGGCUCCUCUUGAAUGAAUGAGUUUUUCUGAUGGAUCAUAGCUCAGUAACACGAAUGUGAUAAUUAUCUACGUUAGAUGUGAAGAGGCUCCUACAGAAAAGGUGUAUCUUGGGGAUAACAAACCCUUGACUUUGACAAAUCUGACCUCAAAUCAGGUAGGACUACCCGCUGAACUUAAGCAUAUCAAUAAGCGGAGGA
rnacentral:rRNA from 1 species